AUGUGCUAGUUAGCAAGUUUAGCGGCUAAUGUAAACACGCCCAUCUCUCCACAGUGAGAAGAGAGGGGCAGGGUGAGCAGAGCUCAUUUUGCAUUUAAAGCAGCCUCGACCAGAAUGACAUGAUUUUUGCAGAGUUGAUUUUGGCAAGAACUCAAACCAACUUUGGAGUUAACAACACAGAAGCCUGUGUGAGAGGAGGCAAUCUUCUCAGCUUCUUCAGAAGAGAGGGAAAGACAGUAUAAGGCAAGUAAAGGUCAUAAUUCCAUAUUAUCAAUUUUUUUGACUAUUAGUAAAAGAAUGUUUGCCUUUUUGUAGAUGUUGUAAGCCAGAGACAUAGGAGAGCUUCAUUCUUUCAGGAUUAAUAACUCAAACCAACUUUACCACACAGAAGCCUACUUGUGUGAGGAGGCGAUCUUCUCAGCUUCUUCAUAAGAGAGGGAAAGACGGUUUAAG